UUGAAUGGAAAGAACUGGAAGCAUCUCUUGACAUUGUCAAGCGAAAAGACAUUCUUCAAAGUGGUGUAGUUCAUGAGGGGGAUGUCGUUGAUGUUAAAUAUGAAGAUGAAAGCUCUCCAGCAAUUGUUCUCAAGCUGAGUGAAAAUAAGGACAAGCUACUGAAAUGUUUACAUCAGAUAGAGUUAGAGAGGAAGCAGAAAGAGGAGUGCAAGCUGCCUGAAAAGAGAGCUGUUAAAAGGAAGCAAAUAUUUAGUCCAGAAAAUAGUCCAACAUCAAGUCCAGAAAAGAGACCUAAAAAAGUGGGAAAAUCACAAAAAGACACACUGUUGUUUAAUAAAAUACAGGAAAAAAACUAUGAAAAUAACACAAUAAAUGAUAUGAGAAGGG